AUUCCAGCUCCAAUAGCGUAUAUUAAAGUUGUUGCGGUUAAAAAGCUCGUAGUUGGAUUUCUGCUGAGGAUGACCGGUCCGCCCUGUGGGUGUGCAUCUGGCUCAGCCUUGGCAUCUUCCUGAAGAACGUAGCUGCACUUGACUGUGUGGUGCGGUAUUUAGGACAUUUACUUUGAGGAAAUUAGAGUGUUUCAAGCAAGCGCACGCUUUGAAUACAUUAGCAUGGAAUAAUAAGAUAGGACCUCGGUUCUAUUUUGUUGGUUUCUAGAGCUGAGGUAAUGAUUGAUAGGGAUAGUUGGGGGCAUUCGUAUUUAACUGUCAGAGGUGAAGUUCUUGGAUUUGUUAAAGACGGACUAAGGAUGUUUUCAUUG
rnacentral:rRNA from 1 species